GUUGGGGCGGGCCGGGGCGGCGGUACCGCCACUGUGGGGUCCGGGACGGGCCGCGGGCUCGGUGGUGGCGAGUUGUGGCGGAGCCCCGCGGCCGCCGGCGGCCUCGGCUGGUGCCUCUGGUGUUCGCCGCGUUUUGGUUUCCCCACGCAGGCGCAUGGGUGUCGGCCUCAAAGCCCCUGUAAAAGUUGGAGUGUGCCAUUUUGAAUGCGCCCUUACAAGUUUUACUUACUCUCCCGCGUAUUUAAGAUCUCAGCUACCCUCUAAUUACGCAGAACUAUUCAUGGUAUCUUCUGAAGCCAGGAUGGGAAAGGAGUCCAAUCAGGAGUCCAGCCAGAACUCUGAAGAUUUGCCCUGUCAUAACAGCAAGACAUUUGAAGAGGUUGAGGUUGGGAUUUAGAAGCCUUGAAAACCAGUUACAGCCCCAGUUUCAGCCAAGCAACUGACUUAAAAAUUGUGAUGAGGAGCUGCAGUCCAGCAAAGGUGGGAGACCCAGACAGUUCCUCAGCACUAGCCUGUCAAGAAGCUGCCUGGGGAAUAGGCCGAGACACUGAAAAGCUUGAGGAGAAUCAGACCUCUGUUGGGAUUAAAGGGCAUACAACAUGGAUUGCAGGACCAGGGGGCUGAUGUCUUAAAAGGUAGGUAUAGCCAUAUGAGACAAGUUGAUAGACCAUAUCUCCCACUGGAAGUUUCAAAAAGCAGGAAGCAUCUCUGUGGUUCAGUAUGGUUCUGGUUUAGUUUGGCUGAAAUGCUGUAUUCAGACUCAGGCUUCUCUGCUAGAUAAAACUGCCUCAUUUACGAAGUACUCUGUCUCAGUAAAGGUUUCAGUUGGUCCACUGAAAUAAAUAUAUUUUCUAUUUCA
rnacentral:lncRNA from 1 species